rnacentral:rRNA from 1 species
UCCUGGCUCAGGACGAACGCUGGCGGCGUGCCUAAUACAUGCAAGUCGAGCGUGAACCAACAGAUUCACUUCGGUGAUGACGUUGGGAACGCGAGCGGCGGAUGGGUGAGUAACACGUGGGGAACCUGCCCCAUAGUCUGGGAUACCACUUGGAAACAGGUGCUAAUACCGGAUAAGAAAGCAGAUCGCAUGGCUUAUAAAAGGCGGCGUAAGCUGUCGCUAUGGGAUGGCCCCGCGGUGCAUUAGCUAGUUGGUAGGGUAACGGCCUACCAAGGCAAUGAUGCAUAGCCGAGUUGAGAGACUGAUCGGCCACAUUGGGACUGAGACACGGCCCAAACUCCUACGGGAGGCAGCAGUAGGGAAUCUUCCACAAUGGACGAAAGUCUGAUGGAGCAACGCCGCGUGAGUGAAGAAGGUUUUCGGAUCGUAAAUGUUGUUGGUGAAGAAGGAUAGAGGUAGUAACUGGCCUUUAUUUGACGGUAAUCAACCAGAAAGUCACGGCUAACUACGUGCCAGCAGCCGCGGUAAUACGUAGGUGGCAAGCGUUGUCCGGAUUUAUUGGGCGUAAAGCGAGCGCAGGCGGAAGAAUAAGUCUGAUGUGAAAGCCCUCGGCUUAACCGAGGAACUGCAUCGGAAACUGUUUUUCUUGAGUGCAGAAGAGGAGAGUGGAACUCCAUGUGUAGCGGUGGAAUGCGUAGAUAUAUGGAAGAACACCAGUGGCGAAGGCGGCUCUCUGGUCUGCAACUGAAGGCUCGAAAGCAUGGGUAGCGAACAGGAUUAGAUACCCUGGUAGUCCAUGCCGUAAACGAUGAGUGCUAAGUGUUGGGAGGUUUCCGCCUCUCAGUGCUGCAGCUAACGCAUUAAGCACUCCGCCUGGGGAGUACGACCGCAAGGUUGAAACUCAAAGGAAUUGACGGGGGCCCGCACAAGCGGUGGAGCAUGUGGUUUAAUUCGAAGCAGAAGAACCUUACCAGGUCUUGACAUCUAGUGCAAUCCGUAGAGAUACGGAGUUCCCUUCGGGGACACUAAGACAGGUGGUGCAUGGCUGUCGUCAGCUCGUGUCGUGAGAUGUUGGGUUAAGUCCCGCAACGAGCGCAACCCUUGUCAUUAGUUGCCAGCAUUAAGUUGGGCACUCUAAUGAGACUGCCGGUGACAAACCGGAGGAAGGUGGGGAUGACGUCAAGUCAUCAUGCCCCUUAUGACCUGGGCUACACACGUGCUACAAUGGACAGUACAACGAGGAGCAAGCCUGCGAAGGCAAGCGAAUCUAAAGCUGUUCUCAGUUCGGACUGCAGUCUGCAACUCGACUGCACGAAGCUGGAAUCGCUAGUAAUCGCGGAUCAGCACGCCGCGGUGAAUACGUUCCCGGGCCUUGUACACACCGCCCGUCACACCAUGGGAGUCUGCAAUGCCCAAAGCCGGUGGCCUAACCUUCGGGAAGGAGCCGUCUAAGGC